rnacentral:rRNA from 1 species
GAAUGCAGUCAAGAGAGUUUUUAAUUGAGUUAAGUUUUAUUGUUAUAUUAUUGUUUACUAUUUGUCAUUUUUUUUCUAUUUUAGAUAUUACAGAAUAAUAAAUGUUUUUAUUUGGGUUAAGUUGUAUUGGUAUGUUUUUGGUUAUCAACUGGUAUUUUAUUUUUAUUUUAGGUUUUACAGGGUAUUAAAUUUUUUUAUUUGGGUUAAAUUUUAUUGUUAUAUUUUUUUAUAUUACUUGGUGUUUUGUUUUUAUUUUGUAUAUUACUAUUUAAAAAAUAUAAUAGAAAAUUUUUUCUUUCUGUUAUUAAAAGUUUUUUCUAAAUAUAAAAUGUUUGCCUUUGUGGUUUUGGUUCUUAUUGGCUUUGUUUUAGUUUUAAUUUUAUUUUAAAAUAUGUAAAUUUUUAUAGUUAAGUAUUUGGAAAGAGGUUGAGUUUUUUUUUGAAAAAAAUAGGAAAAAAGAAAGAUAAAAUUUUUUAAUUAUAGUUCUUUUUGUAUCAUGACUUAUAAAGGAGCCAAAUUUUUUUUUAUUCCCGAAAAUUUUAGAGCUACUGUUCCAAAAAAGUUUGUUGAAAAAAAUUUUAGAAGAGAAUGGUAGGGGUUAAAUGCCUUUCGAGAAAGUUGAUAGCUGGUUAAAAGAAAAAUGUAUUAAAGUACAGAAGUAAAAUAUUUAUUCUAUUAGGUUUUUAUUUUUGAGAUUUUUGGGGUUAAGCUCAAAAAUGAUUUUAAGUAUUAAUAGAGAAAGUAGGAUUUAUAUUGUUUAUCUUAUAAAAAAUUAAUAAUAAAAUAUUCAUAAAACUUAGUAUAUUUAAUAUCUUUUAAUUUUUAAAAAUAAGUUAAAAAAGUAUAAGUAUAAGAUUAGUAGUUAAGAUAGUAGAGUAAAGAGUUUUAGUGAGUUUUUAGUUAAAAUCAAGAAAAAUUAAUAUAAAAAAAUUUUUAAAAGGAACUCGACAAAUAAGAUUUGUGCCUGUUUAACAAAGACAUCGCUUUUUGGAAACUAAAAUAAGAAGUCGGACCUGCCCGGUGAGUUUAUUUAACGGCUGCAACGAGAGUUGUACUAAGGUAGCGCGAUAAUUUGUCUCUUAAUUGGAGAAUGGUAUGAAAGGUUUGUCGCAAAUUAGUUGUCUCUUAAAAAUUAAAUGAAGUUUCCUUUUAAGUGAAAAGGCUUAAAAUUUUGUAAAAGACGAGAAGACCCUGUCGAGCUUGAUUAACUUAAAAAUCUAAAUAAAUAGGUUUUCAGGCGAAUUGUAGUUGGGGAGAGCUGGAUUCAAAAUAAUGAGUCUUUUUGAACGUUGAUCCUCUUUGAGAGAUAGUAGGCAAAAGCUACCGCAGGGAUAACAGCGUAAUUUUUUCUGAGAGAUCUUAUUGAGGGAAAAGUUUGCGACCUCGAUGUUGGAUUAGAGUAACUGUUUGGUGCAGCAGCUAAACAAAGUAAGACUGUUCGUCUUUUAAAUUUCUACAUGAUCUGAGUUAAGACCGGCGUAAGCUAGGUUGGUUUCUAUCUUUAGUUAAUUUGCUUAUUGUACGAAAGGAUCCAGGUAAAGAAUAUUAUUUUAUUGUUUAAUAUAAUUAAGUUGAGUAGUGUUGAGUUGUUCAAUAAAAUAAAAAAUUAUAAGAGAUUUAUUUAGUGUUUUUGAUUACUCAUUAGGAACUAGAGGAUUUUUAGGUUGUGUUAGUCCUUGACAUGGAGGUCUUUUAGUAACAAUUUACAGCUGUUGUUUUUUAGUUUACUUUUAUGGUUUUAACGAU